GCUCAUGCCUGUAAUCCCAGCACUUUGGGAGGCCGAGGCAGGCGGAUCACGAGGUCAGGAGAUCGAGACCAUCCUGGCUAACAUGGGAAAAGAGCACCUGCCAAGUCCAUUGUCCCAAGGAGAGUUGCCUUUCUGACCUUGGUCUCUGCAUCUGUAAAACGACCUUGGCAAUAUCUACCCUCUCUACCACAGAGGACUUUGGAGAGAAUGAAGUAUGACAACGUGUUGGAAGUCCUGUGAAACUAAUCUGGAAGUGAGAUUGUGAUUGGUUGGCUCAGGCCCUGAGAGUCCCAGGGCUCUGCUUCUGGUCCAGAUUUUGUUACUAAGGAGGAGAGUGCCUGGACAGUUCUUUUUGUCUGGAGGACUGUGACUACUACAGCACAGAAUUAAGGAACCUGUCCUUUGACCAGCAGUAGAGGCGAUUGUCAGACACUCUGAAGUUUGAGCAGCCCUGUCCCCAGUAAACACUACUUCCAGCAGGAUGAACAAUGAAUGAAUCGGAAGUUCUGGUGGUCAUUGCUACAUAACACAGCAGUCCCUCUGGACAGUGGAGAGAGGAGCACGUCCUAAUGGCCCCAAAUGUUAGGAAACUUUCCAUCCUCUGUCAGCUUCAUGGCUUGGAGUGUAAAGUGUGCUUCUCACACUUUCACAGGUGCAGCGGGGCAGGGACCUGAGAGUUUGCAUCUCCAUUGAGCUCCUAGAUGAGAACAGAAAAUGACAUUGGGAAGCAGUGAACUCACCAGAAGGGCAGAGAAAGUCAUUAAAUUCAACAUGCAUCAUAUUUCAUAAUCAGAACCCCGCAGUCAGCGCUGACACCACCGAAUGAGUUUGUUGCAGCCAUGAUAAUAUAAAAUCCAGUGCGUCUCCUUCCCCUGGCUCUCUCUUCCUGGACCCUAGCUAGGGCCAGGGCAUUAAUCAUUGCAGACAGGGGACGGUGCAGACCACUGCACUCUGGAUUGCAUAAAUUGAAAAUACAUCAGUAUUAGUGGAGAA